rnacentral:rRNA from 1 species
UUAAAUUGAAGAGUUUGAUCAUGGCUCAGAUUGAACGCUGGCGGCAGGCCUAACACAUGCAAGUCGAACGGUAACAGGAAGCAGCUUGCUGCUUCGCUGACGAGUGGCGGACGGGUGAGUAAUGUCUGGGAAACUGCCUGGUGGAGGGGGAUAACUACUGGAAACGGUAGCUAAUACCGCAUAACGUCGCAAGACCAAAGAGGGGGACCUUCGGGCCUCUUGCCAUCGGAUGUGCCCAGAUGGGAUUAGCUAGUAGGUGGGGUAACGGCUCACCUAGGCGACGAUCCCUAGCUGGUCUGAGAGGAUGACCAG